rnacentral:rRNA from 1 species
UACAGAGGGGGCAAGCGUUGUUCGGAAUUACUGGGCGUAAAGGGCGCGUAGGCGGCCUGUGAAGUCGAACGUGAAAUCCCCGGGCUCAACCCGGGAACUGCGUCCGAUACUGGCAGGCUUGAAUCCGGGAGAGGGAUGCGGAAUUCCAGGUGUAGCGGUGAAAUGCGUAGAUAUCUGGAGGAACACCGGUGGCGAAGGCGGCAUCCUGGACCGGCAUUGACGCUGAGGAGCGAAAGCUAGGGGAGCAAACGGG